GUUCCGCGGAUUGUUCCACUCAAAGUUGUUACGACCGAAUAAGUUUAGAAUUUCGAACUCGUGUGAUUACAUUUUUUGUUGAAUAUUUUAUUUACCUCAGUGUUUUUUUGCUAUGAGUUUGAUUCUGUUUUCGUUAUAUUUUAGUGUUUUUGGAUAUUAUUUUACCAUUUUCUUUUUAAAGUAAGGAUAACGAAUCAAUAUGUAUCCUGAAGUGCUCAUUUUUCUGACUUCGAUAUCAGCAUUUCGUAUCGAUGCUCUGCUCUUCUACAGCGCGAGACAAUAUGAUUCCAUUGUUGAGACUCACGACCAGGGAAAUUUAACGAGCGA